GUGGGGAAUAUUGGACAAUGGGCGAAAGCCUGAUCCAGCCAUGCCGCGUGUGUGAAGAAGGUCUUCGGAUUGUAAAGCACUUUAAGUUGGGAGGAAGGGCAGUAAGUUAAUACCUUGCUGUUUUGACGUUACCGACAGAAUAAGCACCGGCUAACUUCGUGCCAGCAGCCGCGGUAAUACGAAGGGUGCAAGCGUUAAUCGGAAUUACUGGGCGUAAAGCGCACGCAGGCGGUUUAUCAGGUCGGAUGUGAAAUGCCGGGGCUCAACCCCGGAACUGCGUUCGAAACCGGUAAGCUGGAGUCACGGAGGGAGAAGGGGAAUUCCUGGUGUAGGGGUGAAAUCCGUAGAGAUCAGGAGGAACACCGGCGGCGAAAGCGCCUUCUUGGACGAUGACUGACGCUGAGGUGCGAAAGCGUGGGGUGCAAACAGGAUUAGAUACCCCAGUAGUCC
rnacentral:rRNA from 1 species